GUCUUUUUGUUUAUAAUAUAAAGUCUAACCUGCCCACUGAAGGUUUAAAGGCCGCGGUAUUUUGACCGUGCGAAGGUAGCAUAAUAAUUAGUUUUUUAAUUGAAAGCUGGAAUGAAUGGUUGAACGAGGAAAAGGCUGUCUCUGUAUAAAUUUUUAAGAACUUUAUUUUUAAGUUAAAAAGCUUAAAUAAUUUUAAAAGACGAGAAGACCCUAUAGAGUUUAAUAAAACUUUGGUUUUUAAAUAGGUUGAAUAAUUAGUUUAAAAAUUAAAGUUUUAUUUUAUUGGGGUGAUAGUAAAAUUUGAUAAACUUUUAUUUAAUAUAGACAUUGAUUUAUGAUUUAUUGAUCCAUUAAUUAUGAUUAUAAGAUUAAAUUACCUUAGGGAUAACAGCGUAAUUUCUUUAAAGAGUUCUAAUCGAAAAAGAAGUUUGCGACCUCGAUGUUGGAUUAAAAUUUAUAUUUGGUGUAGAAGCUAAAUUAUUAGGUCUGUUCGACCUUUAAAAUUUU
rnacentral:rRNA from 1 species